GGGAGGUUAACUCAGUGGCAGAGUAUGGGAUUGAAAAUCCCGUUGCGGUGGUUCGAUUCCACCACUUCCCA
rnacentral:tRNA from 1 species